GCAGCCCAUUUUGCCAGAACCUCAGAAAGUCAUCAAAGAAGAUGACAUCAUUGGCAUCAGAGCUGCACUGAUUUAUGAAAACUGCCUAGAGCAACUCGUCUCCUUCUUAACUCUGCCUGUAGACAGAUGUACGGGCGUGCUGAGGUCCGGUCAAGUGUGUGACAGUGCUGGCCCAUUUCAAACAAACAUCGCUGUCAGGGGCACUGCAAUGAGCAUUGAAUGGAUCUGCCCCAAUGGACACUGUCUAUGGAGGUGGAAUUCCCAGCCCGUGUUGAAGUUCGGCUUGCAGGCCGGGGACUUCCUUCUUUCCAGCAGCAUUUUGUUGUCUGGCAACAACUAUGCCAAAGUUUCUCUCCUGUUCAAAUUCAUGAACAUUAAAAUGGUCAACCCCAACACCUACUUCACCAUUCAGGACACUUACUGUGUUGACAUUAUAAAAGAAUUCUGGGAGGAGAAGAGUUCUAAGGCAAUCAGCCAACUUCAAGGAAAAAAUGUUGUGGUCCCAGGUGAUGGCAGAAAUGACUCACCAGGGCAUAGUGCGCAGUACUGCAGCUACACUACCAUGGAACUUGAGUCCAAGGAAAUCAUCCAUCUGGCUACUGUAGACAAGCGGCAGACAAACUGGAACUCCAACAUCAUGGAGAAAGAGGGUUUCAUCCAGACUGUGGACAAGCUGCCAAAAGAGAUAAAGCCAGUGGAGUUCUGCACGGACGCCCAUGUUCAGAUUGGAGCCCUCUUGAACCCAGACAAAGGCAAAUAUAAGUCUCUUGGAAUUCACCACAGCCUUGACAUGUGGCAUGGUGCCAAAAAUCUGGCCAAAAAAAUCUCUACUGCAGGAAAGGUAAAAGGACAGAAUCUUCUCCUUCAUUGGUUGAGGGAUAUUGUCAACCAUUUUUGGUGGUCCUGCAAGACAGCAGAGACAUAUGAGCAGUUUUUUGCACUUUGGAUUGGAGUUCUGCGUCAUGUCUGCAACAAUCAUACCUGGGAAACAGGAGGCUGUCAUCAUGACCAUCUUGAAGAUGCGCAGAGAAAACAGUGGAUUGAGAGGGACUCAAAAUGCCACAAAACGCUAGCAAAUGUCAUCCUCAACAAGCACUGGCUGAAAGACGUCCACAAAUAUCUGCGCUUCAGAUCAACAGCACAUCUGGAAUCAUUCCAGAACCAUGUUCUGAUGUACGCCAGCAAGCAACACGCAUUCACUCCCCGAGUGUACAAAUCCAGGGUUCUGCUUGCAGCACUGGAUUAUAAUUUCCACCGUGAAUGACCGACCUACAGAACAGCCACGGGCCAACAAAUUAUUAUAUUUGGCAGUAUGGCUGUGUUCUGGGGGCCCCUGCCUUUCCUAGGCCUACGCAGAAAGCCUAAGGUGGAGACAACACAUCUCCCUGUCCUUUCAAGUACCUAUCUGGAAAGCCUGCCCUUCCACGCGCAAACGAGUAAAAGGUUUUGCAUCAGAUUUUUUCUUGGCUGCAAGGCUUUGUCACUUGAAUGUAAACACAUGUCAUUUUUGGGCAUUUGCUGGAACAAAACAGGAGAGGAUCUUCCCAAACUGCUGACACCCAAUUGUUGAGUAAUAUACAAAACAGACUUUUAGAAGGGAAGAAAAGACAGCCCAGUUCCCAGAAGAAAUUGCUGACAUUCAGAGAAGGGGGAUGGUGGAUGCUGUGACACCUUGGUGAGACGCCUGCCAAGCUGCAGACCACUGUUCAGAUCAAUAAACAACAAAGACGGUAGUGUUUAAGCGAGUCAUCGGUUUUUGUUAAGUGGCUAUUUAGCCAUCAAACAUGGUGUUUUAUAGAAAUCUGUUGCUGUUUUUCAGCGGGCAUAGUCCCAGAGAAAGUUUUUUUUUUUUUUUAACAGCUUACCCAACUGGGAUUAUGCCCUAAUACUGGGUAUUUUAAGCCUCAACAGGAUAUUUUCCUAGUCAUGACCAUGUGGAUUUUAUGUGCCUGAACCACACAUUAACCACAGUGUAGCUGAAUUGAAAAGUUUCAACCAAUCCACCACAUCCUAGCGUAUAAAUGUGACAUAUUUGUAGUUUGCAGAAACAUACAAUUCCAACAGGAAUCCUAAAUAUAAAGAUGCAUAUCUUGUUUUUAAAGAUCACUGUGAAUACAGCAGGAAAAUCUGAAUUUUGACCGUAAAAA